rnacentral:rRNA from 1 species
GGUUAAGCGACUAAGCGUACACGGUGGAUGCCCUGGCAGUCAGAGGCGAUGAAGGACGUGCUAAUCUGCGAUAAGCGUCGGUAAGGUGAUAUGAACCGUUAUAACCGGCGAUUUCCGAAUGGGGAAACCCAGUGUGAUUCGUCACACUAUCAUUAACUGAAUCCAUAGGUUAAUGAGGCGAACCGGGGGAACUGAAACAUCUAAGUACCCCGAGGAAAAGAAAUCAACCGAGAUUCCCCCAGUAGCGGCGAGCGAACGGGGAGGAGCCCAGAGCCUGAAUCAGUGUGUGUGUUAGUGGAAGCGUCUGGAAAGGCGCGCGAUACAGGGUGACAGCCCCGUACACAAAAAUGCACAUGCUGUGAGCUCGAUGAGUAGGGCGGGACACGUGGUAUCCUGUCUGAAUAUGGGGGGACCAUCCUCCAAGGCUAAAUACUCCUGACUGACCGAUAGUGAACCAGUACCGUGAGGGAAAGGCGAAAAGAACCCCGGCGAGGGGAGUGAAAAAGAACCUGAAACCGUGUACGUACAAGCAGUGGGAGCACAGAGCAAUCUGUGUGACUGCGUACCUUUUGUAUAAUGGGUCAGCGACUUAUAUUCUGUAGCAAGGUUAACCGAAUAGGGGAGCCGAAGGGAAACCGAGUCUUAACUGGGCGUUAAGUUGCAGGGUAUAGACCCGAAACCCGGUGAUCUAGCCAUGGGCAGGUUGAAGGUUGGGUAACACUAACUGGAGGACCGAACCGACUAAUGUUGAAAAAUUAGCGGAUGACUUGUGGCUGGGGGUGAAAGGCCAAUCAAACCGGGAGAUAGCUGGUUCUCCCCGAAAGCUAUUUAGGUAGCGCCUCGUGAAUUCAUCUCCGGGGGUAGAGCACUGUUUCGGCAAGGGGGUCAUCCCGACUUACCAACCCGAUGCAAACUGCGAAUACCGGAGAAUGUUAUCACGGGAGACACACGGCGGGUGCUAACGUCCGUCGUGAAGAGGGAAACAACCCAGACCGCCAGCUAAGGUCCCAAAGUCAUGGUUAAGUGGGAAACGAUGUGGGAAGGCCCAGACAGCCAGGAUGUUGGCUUAGAAGCAGCCAUCAUUUAAAGAAAGCGUAAUAGCUCACUGGUCGAGUCGGCCUGCGCGGAAGAUGUAACGGGGCUAAACCAUGCACCGAAGCUGCGGCAGCGACACUAUGUGUUGUUGGGUAGGGGAGCGUUCUGUAAGCCUGUGAAGGUGUGCUGUGAGGCAUGCUGGAGGUAUCAGAAGUGCGAAUGCUGACAUAAGUAACGAUAAAGCGGGUGAAAAGCCCGCUCGCCGGAAGACCAAGGGUUCCUGUCCAACGUUAAUCGGGGCAGGGUGAGUCGACCCCUAAGGCGAGGCCGAAAGGCGUAGUCGAUGGGAAACAGGUUAAUAUUCCUGUACUUGGUGUUACUGCGAAGGGGGGACGGAGAAGGCUAUGUUGGCCGGGCGACGGUUGUCCCGGUUUAAGCGUGUAGGCUGGUUUUCCAGGCAAAUCCGGAAAAUCAAGGCUGAGGCGUGAUGACGAGGCACUACGGUGCUGAAGCAACAAAUGCCCUGCUUCCAGGAAAAGCCUCUAAGCAUCAGGUAACAUCAAAUCGUACCCCAAACCGACACAGGUGGUCAGGUAGAGAAUACCAAGGCGCUUGAGAGAACUCGGGUGAAGGAACUAGGCAAAAUGGUGCCGUAACUUCGGGAGAAGGCACGCUGAUAUGUAGGUGAAGCGACUUGCUCGUGGAGCUGAAAUCAGUCGAAGAUACCAGCUGGCUGCAACUGUUUAUUAAAAACACAGCACUGUGCAAACACGAAAGUGGACGUAUACGGUGUGACGCCUGCCCGGUGCCGGAAGGUUAAUUGAUGGGGUCAGCGCAAGCGAAGCUCUUGAUCGAAGCCCCGGUAAACGGCGGCCGUAACUAUAACGGUCCUAAGGUAGCGAAAUUCCUUGUCGGGUAAGUUCCGACCUGCACGAAUGGCGUAAUGAUGGCCAGGCUGUCUCCACCCGAGACUCAGUGAAAUUGAACUCGCUGUGAAGAUGCAGUGUACCCGCGGCAAGACGGAAAGACCCCGUGAACCUUUACUAUAGCUUGACACUGAACAUUGAGCCUUGAUG